CAGGAGCUCCCCAGCAUGUCCAGCAGCAGCAGCAGUGCACACAGCAUUGUUUGUCGGAGCAGCUCACAGGGUAAGAAGCAUGUAGGAUGUGAAAACUGCGCUCUCUGAACUGCGAUUAUCUUAUUACUUAUUACAAACCAGCAACACGAGUAAAAGGGCGCUGGACACACAGUAUAAGGAAAGGAUCCAGUUUAUCCAGCCAUGAUGCAACGCAUUUCACAGUAAGACUGCUUCAUCAGGCAUACCCAGGAAUCCAGAAUCAGGGCUUACCGCCAGACUGGACCUAUUGGGACUGGAGUUGCCCGAGACUUUCUAUCUACUGCUAUCCUUUUCGGAACUUGACUUGCUUGAACGUGAAUUGGACAGGACAAUGUCUG